GGCAGGUUGGCUGCUGAGGUUGGCUGCUGUGCCCUCUGUUGCUUCCCUCUUGUGUCCUCUUUAGCCCCUCCUUCACCUUCUGUGCCCUCUUUAGCCCCCUCUUCUGUGCCCUUUUUUGCUUCCCUCCUGUGUCCUCUUUUGCCCCUUCACCUUCUGUGCCCUAUUUUGCCCUUUUCCUGUAUCCUCUUUAGCCCCUUCCUGUGCCCUCUUUUGCCUCCUUUAGCUCAUCUCCCCUUCUGUGCCCUCUUUAGCCCCUUUUUACCUUCUGUGCCCUCUUUUGCCCCCUUCCGUGCACUCUUUAGCCCCCCUUUACCAUCUGUGCCCUAUUUUGCCCUUCUCAUCUGUCCUCUUUAG